rnacentral:rRNA from 1 species
GAUGAACGCUGACAGAAUGCUUAACACAUGCAAGUCUACUUGAAUUUGGGUUUUUUAACUUCGAUUUGGGUGGCGGACGGGUGAGUAACGCGUAAAGAACUUGCCUCACAGUUAGGGACAACAUUUGGAAACGAAUGCUAAUACCUGAUAUUAUGAAUAUAUGGCAUCAUAUAAUUAUGAAAGCUAUAAGCGCUGUGAGAGAGCUUUGCGUCCCAUUAGCUAGUUGGAGAGGUAACGGCUCACCAAGGCGAUGAUGGGUAGCCGGCCUGAGAGGGUGAACGGCCACAAGGGGACUGAGACACGGCCCUUACUCCUACGGGAGGCAGCAGUGGGGAAUAUUGGACAAUGGACCAAGAGUCUGAUCCAGCAAUUCUGUGUGCACGAUGACGUUUUUCGGAAUGUAAAGUGCUUUCAGUUGGGAAGAAAAAAAUGACGGUACCAACAGAAGAAGUUACGGCUAAAUACGUG